AUGGGUGGGAGGGGCCCAUUUUCCUGGGUGCAAAACGGGUGACUUCUACUGAUUUGGUUUAUCUAGGGUUUUGCUUCUUCGUGGUCCAACCAUGGUUGUAUGAGGUUGAAGGAACCUAACAUCGACUUAGAAGCGGGAGCUGUUGCUGAACCGAAAUCAAAUUCAUCACAGACAAAAAUCACCCUAAAGAUAGGGAACUUCAGAUUGAUAAAAGAGAUUGGGAAGCUAUGUUCAUGAAGGUUGACGACAAAGCAUCGCCGAACACACAAGCUUUUUGUAGGCACAAAUUAAGGAAAGUGACAAGAAGAAGAAAUCGUUUAUGUGAUGAGGCACCUCGAACCUCAGUGAAGACGAACCUAGCAUCACAAAUUGGUUUGGGUA